CCUACGGGAGGCAGCAGUGGGGAAUAUUGGGCAAUGGAGGAAACUCUGACCCAGCAACGCCGCGUGAAGGAUGAAGGUUCUCUGAUUGUAAACUUCCGUCGCUAGGGAUGAAGAAUGACGGUACCUCGUAAGAUAGCCCCGGCCAACUACGUGCCAGCAGCCGCGGUAAUACGGAGGGGGCGAGCGUUGUCCGGAAUGACUGGGCGUAAAGGGAGUGUAGGCGGCAUAUUAAGUUAUGUGUGAAAGCCCGCGGCUCAACCACGGAAUUGCACAUAAAACUGGUAAGCUGGAGUGCAGGAGAGGUAAGUGGAAUGCGCGGUGUAGCGGUGGAAUGCGUAGAUAUCGGGAAGAACACCAGAGGCGAAGGCGACUUACUGAGCUGUAACUGACGCUGAGGCUCGAAAGCGUGGGGAGCAAACAGGAUUAGAUACCCGGGUAGUC
rnacentral:rRNA from 1 species